GUGCCUGUAGCUCAAUUGGAUAGAGCGUUAGACUACGGAUCUAAAGGUUAGGGGUUCGACUCCCUUCAGGCACGCCA
rnacentral:tRNA from 1 species